UUCACCUAAAAUCAUUUGCGUGAUUUCGUCUCGAACGCUUUUUCAUUGUCACCAACACGAAAUCCACUAGAAUCUCAACGCUUCGAUUGCUCCAAUGGUGGCUUAUAGAUAGUAAUUGCACUUUCCUAUUUGGGUAUAUCAAUUCUCGUUUGUUGUUGUUAUUGGGUUCCUUUUUGGGUGUUUCUUCUCCAAUUUAUGUAAGAUGCUCUUAAUUUAUUUCAAUUUAUGUAAGAUGCUCUUAAUUUAUUUCACUUUCCUUUUUUUUUUGGUGAUGCUCUUAAGUAAUUUCAUUUUCCUA
rnacentral:sRNA from 1 species